rnacentral:lncRNA from 1 species
AUGGAUGAGGAAUCUGACACUCAAAUACGUGGGUCAGAGAGAGUGACCAAUGAGGUCUCACGGGUUGGUCUUAGGGGUAGAAUCUUGGGGGAGGAGAAGCUCCAUGACUGUUGGGCUGCUGAGACAGUUGGUGCCCACGGCGCCAUCUUGAAGGGAGUAGGCACAGCCAGGAGGUCGGGGCAGGCGACUCCUGGGGACAUCGUCCAGCACCCAGGCAUGCCAGAGAUCUUUCCAGAAUGCGCAGAGAGCACAGUGUGGAACAGGAUGUGUCCGUCUUCCCUUCCUCACUUGCCUUGGCUCCCAGCUCGUGGGCUCUCUCCUCUGCAUCCUGGCUCCGUGGCUGCUAUAGGAAGAACCAAGCUGGAGGAAGUCGGCGGCUCCAUUCCCAAAGGCACAGAGGCCACGGGCCCAGGAGGAUGGAGACCCCGGCCUGCUCCACUCGCUGCUGGGCCCUGGUGUUUGGAUCUGGCUGGCAGCAGCAGGGCCUCCGUGAGCAAGGGCGGCAGACCACAAAGACCACAUCUCAGGUGGAGCCAGCAGCAUCCAGACCCACCCGGCCGCACCUUGAAGGGGAGUGUUUUCCUGGACCAUUUGGAAGAGGUCCUCGUGGACGCCUGGUAUUUGGUUCACUACUGGCUCUCUGCAAUCGAGUUUCUGUCUUGUAUCUGUUUUGCCCAUCUUUUCCUAUGUUCUUUUUGCUAGUUUUUACUUAUUCUGCUUUAGUGUACAUUGUAAUAAACUGAUGGAUUCAGGACCUGUUACCUCA